rnacentral:rRNA from 1 species
GAUGAACGCUGGCGGCGUGCCUAACACAUGCAAGUCGAGCGGACUGAUCUAGCUAAAGCCUUCGGGUGGAAGCUAGUGAAGUUAGCGGCGGACGGGUGAGUAACGCGUGGGCAACCUGCCCUAUGCAGGGGGAUAACACGGCGAAAGUCAUGCUAAUACCCCAUAAGACUAAGUCAUCGCAUGGUGACAUAGUCAAAGAUUUAUCGGCAUAGGAUGGGCCCGCGUCUGAUUAGCUAGUUGGUGGGGUAAUGGCCUACCAAGGCGACGAUCAGUAGCCGACCUGAGAGGGUGAUCGGCCACACUGGAACUGAGACACGGUCCAGACUCCUACGGGAGGCAGCAGUGGGGAAUAUUGCACAAUGGGGGAAACCCUGAUGCAGCAACGCCGCGUGAGCGACGAAGGCUUUCGAGUCGUAAAGCUCUGUCCUAAGGGAAGAAUAAUGACGGUACCUUAGGAGGAAGCCCCGGCUAACUACGUGCCAGCAGCCGCCGUAAAAC